UCCUCAGUAGCUCAGUGGUAGAGCGAUCGGCUGUUAACCGAUUGGUCACAGGUUCAAAUCCUGUCUGGGGAG
rfam:Micromonas sp. RCC299 chloroplast, complete genome.